rnacentral:rRNA from 1 species
GCAGUCGAGCGGUAGAGAGAAGCUUGCUUCUCUUGAGAGCGGCGGACGGGUGAGUAAUGCCUAGGAAUCUGCCUGGUAGUGGGGGAUAACGUCCGGAAACGGACGCUAAUACCGCAUACGUCCUACGGGAGAAAGCAGGGGACCUUCGGGCCUUGCGCUAUCAGAUGAGCCUAGGUCGGAUUAGCUAGUUGGUGGGGUAAUGGCUCACCAAGGCGACGAUCCGUAACUGGUCUGAGAGGAUGAUCAGUCACACUGGAACUGAGACACGGUCCAGACUCCUACGGGAGGCAGCAGUGGGGAAUAUUGGACAAUGGGCGAAAGCCUGAUCCAGCCAUGCCGCGUGUGUGAAGAAGGUCUUCGGAUUGUAAAGCACUUUAAGUUGGGAGGAAGGGCAGUAAAUUAAUACUUUGCUGUUUUGACGUUACCGACAGAAUAAGCACCGGCUAACUCUGUGCCAGCAGCCGCGGUAAUACAGAGGGUGCAAGCGUUAAUCGGAAUUACUGGGCGUAAAGCGCGCGUAGGUGGUUCGUUAAGUUGGAUGUGAAAUCCCCGGGCUCAACCUGGGAACUGCAUUCAAAACUGACGAGCUAGAGUAUGGUAGAGGGUGGUGGAAUUUCCUGUGUAGCGGUGAAAUGCGUAGAUAUAGGAAGGAACACCAGUG